rnacentral:rRNA from 1 species
GACGAACGCUGGCGGCGUGCCUAAUACAUGCAAGUAGUACGCAGUUGCGAACGGGUGAGUAACGCGUAGGUACCUGCCUAUUAGAGGGGGAUAACUAUUGGAAACGAUAGCUAAUACCGCAUACUAGUAGAUGGACCUGCGUUGUAUUAGCUAGUAGGUAGGGUAAGGGCCUACCUAGGCGACGAUACAUAGCCGACGCGAUAGGUGGAUAGGCCACACUGUGACUGAGGAACGGCCCAGAAUCCUUGGGGAGGCAGCAGUAGGGAAUCUUCGGAAAUGGGGGGAACCCUGACCGAGCAACGCCGCGUGAGUGACGAAGGUUUUCGGAUCGUAAAGCUCUGUUGUUAAGGAAGCGGUACUUACCCAGAAAGGGACGGCUAACUACGUGCCAGCAGCCGCGGUAAUAC